AUGAUUUCACAUUCAAGUGGAUCUAAUCGCUGCCCCGCGCCCUGUCGUCCGCAGGACGAACACAGCUCUGAGUCCGGCAGCUGCGGAGCAGACGCGGAUGGAUCUGGCAGUGGGCAACUGGAUGCAGCUCAUCCGGUGCCCGCGCAAGGCCCAUAUGGCUCCUCAUCUAGCGCCGGGGAGAGAGAGCCACCUCCGCCAACUUCACGCAUAUCGGUCAAGCACGCGGUGAGCGUAAUCAAGACUUUUGAUGAAUACAAGAGAUGGCUAGUAGAGCAAAUUGGGUUUGGAGGGAUGCUGAAGCUGCCGGACAUCCAGAAACUAAAUCUGAAGUGUGGCGCGUGGAUAAUGAGCAGAGUCAGCGUCAGUCGCAGGGAGAUUAAGCUUAGGGAUAAUAAGGUUAUCAAGUUCUACGCCGAGGAUCUUUACAAGGUGUUUGGGAUCCCAUGUGGCCAUCGUAAUGUGAAAGGCAGAGAUGCGAACAUCAACCCUAAGGCAGUUCAUUUCAUAAAGGCAAAUUUGCAGAUGAACAAAACAGGCGUCCACAGCUUGCGGGCAGCCGAAGAUUUUCUUCUGCGGGACAUCAAUGAGAAUUCAAGCAAGCUAGAGAAAGAUUGUUUCCAGAUUGCCUUCGUCAUUUUUGUCAUGGGACAUGUGCUAGUGCCUACAACCAAGCAUAACUACACUACUAUCGAUUUCUGGGGGGCAAUAGCAAACACCAAGUCGAUAGAUCAAUUCAAUUGGCAAGUUAACUUUUUGAUCACAGCUGUCAGUAUUGUUUGCAAGACCACAUUACCUUUUCCAUUCAGCAAGAAUGACAUGCAUUCCCGUAUUAUUGCAGAUUUUUUGCUGGACAAUCUUGAUCUGGGCAUCUUUAACAAGGCACACAACGUGCUCCCCAGGAUAAGCGACUUCGACCCUGAAUCGUUUAGCCGAAUGCUGACCAUGGCUCUCGAUCCUGUCAAAGGAUCUAAUUCCUACUUGCAUGCUAAUAUAACAGAUGCUUCGACCGUUUGCUACACACGACAGAAGUACCAGUCUCAGGCCCCGACGUCAUCGAUACUCAAGAGGCAGCCUAGGCUCUCCGGCACGCCACCGGCUGCUCAGCAGCGGAACAACACUCCCCCAACAGCCAUUGGUGCAGUUCCUGGUCCACUAGAAUUUGCUAAAUACCUCCGGGAGAAGUACCCACACCUUGUAUGUGUGAUGUUCAUGUUUCAGGGUUUUAAUGAUUAUCCUGCAGCAGCAUCCGCUAAUUCCAAGGCAGUACGGUUUAACACGCGGGUGGCACAUAGGAUACAUGGUCAAAGGCUUGAAUUGUCUGAUAAUGAAGCUACAUCACCUGGUCCCAACCCGAAACGCCCCCACAACACGAGGGGUUUUAAUGAUUGUCCUGCAUCAGCAUCCGCUAAUUCCAAGUCAGUAUGCUUUAGCACGCCGGUUGCACAAAGGAUACAUGGGCAAAGGCUUGAAUUGUCUGAUGACGAAGCUACGUCACCUGGUCUCAAACGGAAACGUCCCCACAACGUCGACGAUUGCACAUCUGUCAGCAAGAAGUCCUCAUCAGGAGCAUCGGGCGGUCUAUUCAAUUUUUUCAAGACUAACCUAAUGGCAAUAGCUCAACUCUAUGCGGAUCUCCCAGCCAACACACCCGCUACUGUAUUCGGCCAAUGUUGCACCAACUUACAGAAGCGGAAGAACUACAUUAUCCACGCCAGCCCUAGGAUUAUACGCAUCUCUGUGUUGGCUAUGAGUCAGCAGUUAGUUGGCACGCGGGGUCUCCACCACGAGCUCAUGUCUAUCAUCAUGCGAAGGUAUACACAGUCAGAUCAGGAAGCCAAUUCCGAAUGCCCAUACAUGAAAUGGAGGCACAACAUGGAACCCGACUUCGCGACAAUUGUCCUAGCGGACCAUGAAUAUGUGACAAACAUAUCCAUCCAGAACCAGCUCGUUGGCAAGGAAAUCCCGUACGACAUAACUUCCUGCCAGAUGUUUUUCUUACCAGUCCCGCUGGAGGAUGGCUGGAUAGCACUGAUGUGGGACAUGAUGGAGAGGAAGCUCCACGUCCUUCACCCACUCAUCAGAGGUGAUGGUCCUAGCGAACCAAUGAAAGACAAGCUCAAGUUGGUUGCCUGGAAACUUCACCAUGCGUUGUUCGACUGCCUUAACGAGUAUUAUGCUGGAUGGCCUACGCAAGAUGGCCAGUGGGUGACCAAGUACCCAGUCAUAGCUGAAGAAAAUUUUAGCAGAGAUGAAACUAGCGCGUGUGUGCUCCAUAUCUGCCGGCACUAUGAUGGCGUCAAGAUGAAGAUUCCCCUUACCAAGAAAUCAAAUGUUGUCCCUUACCCACAGUACAAUGCCGGCAAAACAAAAAGGCAAGCUCUACACGAGUGUGUCAAACUACAGGGGAACUCAUCGAAGCUGGCGCACGAGGCUCUGUGGACGGGUAGUGGGGGGAAACCUGCUGCAAGGCUCAUGCUGCGCCACUAG
rnacentral:rRNA from 1 species